CCACCUGUUUGGAUUCUUGAGGGCUAAUUUAAAAUUAAAAUGUGAGAGCUAAACAUUAGUCCAUAGAACCAAACAGGGCCGC
rnacentral:pre_miRNA from 1 species